rnacentral:rRNA from 1 species
UACAGAGGUCCCAAGCGUUGUUCGGAUUCACUGGGCGUAAAGGGUGCGUAGGUGGUUGGGUACGUCUGAUGUGAAAUCUCCGGGCUCAACCCGGAAAUGGCAUUGGAUACUAUUCGGCUAGAGGUUUGGAGGGGGGACUGGAAUUCUCGGUGUAGCAGUGAAAUGCGUAGAUAUCGAGAGGAACACCAGUGGCGAAGGCGAGUCCCUGGACAACACCUGACACUGAGGCACGAAAGCUAGGGGAGCAAACAGG